rnacentral:rRNA from 1 species
UACGGGGGGGGCAAGCGUUGUUCGGAAUUACUGGGCGUAAAGGGCUCGUAGGUGGCCAACUAAGUCAGACGUGAAAUCCCUCGGCUUAACCGGGGAACUGCGUCUGAUACUGGAUGGCUUGAGAUUGGGAGAGGGAUGCGGAAUUCCAGGUGUAGCGGUGAAAUGCGUAGAUAUCUGGAGGAACACCCGUGGCGAAGGCGGCCAUCUGGACCAGCACUGACGCUGAGGCACGAAAGCGUGGGGAGCAAACAGG